AACGCCUACUGUGUGCCGGUCG
rnacentral:miRNA from 1 species